rnacentral:rRNA from 1 species
GACGUAGGGGGCCAGCGUUGUUCGGAAUUACUGGGUGUAAAGGGUUCGUAGGCGGUGUGGCAAGUCGGGAGUGAAAUCUCUGGGCUCAACUCAGAGACUGCUUCCGAAACUGCUGUGCUGGAGUGUGGGAGAGGCGCGUGGAAUUGUAGGUGUAGCGGUGAAAUGCGUAGAUAUCUGCAGGAACACCAGUGGCGAAGGCGGCUCACUGGCCCGGUACUGACGCUGAGGUGCGAAAGCGUGGGGAGCAAACAGG